UACAGAGGUCCCAAGCGUUGUUCGGAUUCACUGGGCGUAAAGGGUGCGUAGGUGGUGAGGUAAGUCGGAUGUGAAAUCUCCAAGCUUAACUUGGAAAUGGCAUUGGAAACUACCUGGCUUGAUGUUUGGAGGGGGGACUGGAAUACUUGGCGUAGCAGUGAAAUGCGUAGAUAUCAAGUGGAACACCAGUGGCGAAGGCGAGUCCCUGGACAACACCUGACACUGAGGCACGAAAGCUAGGGGAGCGAAUGGG
rnacentral:rRNA from 1 species